rnacentral:rRNA from 1 species
GUGUGUUAGUGGAACGGUCUGGAAAGUCCGGCGGUACAGGGUGAUAGCCCCGUACACUAAAAUGCACACGUUGUGAACUCGAAGAGUAGGGCGGGACACGUGGUAUCCUGUCUGAAUAUGGGGGGACCAUCCUCCAAGGCUAAAUACUCCUGACUGACCGAUAGUGAACCAGUACCGUGAGGGAAAGGCGAAAAGAACCCCGGCGAGGGGAGUGAAAAAGAACCUGAAACCGUGUACGUACAAGCAGUGGGAGCCUCUUUAUGGGGUGACUGCGUACCUUUUGUAUAAUGGGUCAGCGACUUAUAUUCUGUAGCAAGGUUAACCGUAUAGGGGAGCCGCAGGGAAACCGAGUCUUAACUGGGCGUUAAGUUGCAGGGUAUAGACCCGAAACCCGGUGAUCUAGCCAUGGGCAGGUUGAAGGUUGGGUAACACUAACUGGAGGACCGAACCGACUAAUGUUGAAAAAUUAGCGGAUGACUUGUGGCUGGGGGUGAAAGGCCAAUCAAACCGGGAGAUAGCUGGUUCUCCCCGAAAGCU